rnacentral:rRNA from 1 species
GAGUUUGAUCCUGGCUCAGGACGAACGCUGGCGGCGUGCUUAACACAUGCAAGUCGCACGGGGCAGCAAUGCCCAGUGGCGAACGGGUGCGUAACACGUGAGGAACAUGACUUCCGGUGGGGGAUAGCCGGCCCAACGGCCGGGUAAUACCGCAUACGCUGCGCGAGGGGCAUCCCUCGUGUCGGAAAGCAGCAAUGCGCCGGAAAGGUGCCUCGCGGCCUAUCAGCUAGUUGGUGAGGUAAUGGCUCACCAAGGCGACGACGGGUAGCUGGUCUGAGAGGAUGAUCAGCCACAUUGGGACUGAGACACGGCCCAGACUCCUACGGGAGGCAGCAGUGGGGAAUAUUGCGCAAUGGACGAAAGUCUGACGCAGCGACGCCGCGUGAGGGAGGAAGCUCUUCGGGGUGUAAACCUCUGUUGCCGGGAACGAAACGCCAGAUUCGUCUGGCUUGACGGUACUCGGUGAGGAAGCGCCGGCUAACUCUGCGCCAGCCGCCGCCGUAA